UAAAUGUAUAUGUACAAUGUUUGAAUUGAAUUUUUAUCGUUCAUUGGCUGCUUAUUUAUUUAGUUUGUAAAUUAAGGUGAAUAAUAAUGCUGAUCCAUUUGAUUUGUUUCUACAUUGGUGUGCUAACAGUUUCCGGAUUUUUAUACGAUAAUCCAUGCGACGUAUUUCCAAAGUAUUCUGGCGGCAUCUCCAACUCAGACGAUUUUACAACAACUGUAAACGUUCCAGCUAAAUGCAAGAAUGGGACAUUCCGCUGGGACUAUCCUAAAGGACAUGCCAUGCUCCAUUUUCAAAAUAUGCAGGAGAUGGAAAUUAAAAUCUGUAUAAAGGACAGAGUAGGUGGAACAGUUUUCAAUGUGACUUAAAAAGCUACCAAACAACGUCUCGGAACUUUUGAUUACGAAACCUCAGCCUGUUUCCAACCAACAUCAGAACGAGAUAUUGUUCUUCAGGUGGACGCUCCGUUAAGUCUUCGUUACAUGGGAGAGUUCGAAUACAGACUUUUCAAUUGAAAUUAAUUUAGAUUAUCGAAAUAAAAUUGAAACUUGAA